GCCAAUUUCUCUAGUGUGUAUAGAGGAAGUAGCAGUCUUAUUCCCUGUGAAAAUUACUGAACCAAACUGUCUUUCCCUUGUGUCUGCUUCUCACCCUGCAGCACUGAAAAGGAACAAUUAACACAAGUGUCACCUUCAGCAUCCUCAACAGAGAAGAAUUAUGCUGUGGUCUCACUUCUCAUUUCCCUCUUCCUGUAGCAAGCAUGCCCAUAAUAACAUACAAAACUACUGCAAGGUGUGCUCAGAUGCAAGACCAAGUAUCCAGGUGGUAACAAAGAUGAAAACACCCAGAAAUUCGCAAUGCAGAAACUACAACCAAGGAGAUUACAGCUGUGAGAUUGUCCUCAGCUUCCUCAGCAGAUGUUUCGACCCCUCACUGGGGUCACGGCCAAGGAUAAUACGAAGAGGGAGACAAUACUCCUCAAGCCUAAGGCCUGUUCUCCUCCCACUAUUCUGGAAUAGGAGUGUCCACACAUGGAGUUAAUCAAGGGUAAGUCCCAAUGCAGACAAGCCCUCACACUAAAUGUACCACUCUAAAAGAUGAUGAGGCCUCUAACCACAUCCUGGGUACGUUGCUACAGGCUCCCUCAGCACCAUGAUUUUAUGCUGCAAUCUAAACCUGAGCAUUCAAACUUAACAAAGAUGGAACUGCAGGUACCCAGAGAUCUGCUAUUAACUUCAAGACCUUAUGACAACUAUUAAUGUGAUAGCUGUCAUACUUCACAUAGCCAUUUAAAAAAACCUUUGAAAAAUUAACUAAUUAAUCUCCACAACGCUACUGUAGAGAAGAUUAUCAAAUCAUAAAGAAGAUUAUCAGAUGUCUCACCCUGCAAAUGUUUCAAAACUACAUUUAACCUCUACAUGUGGAUAUCAGGAAAAUUAUGAUUUAUCUUUUAUCUUUCCAGCUGAGCUAACAAAAGAGAAAACAGUAAGUUUUCUGAGAUUUUUUUUUAAUUUUUUUUGUGGGGGGGGAGGCAUGGUGAGAGAUUGGGAAAAUGAUUCAAUGUGAUGACCCUCUAAAUUCCUGUGGGACUCCAUGAAAAAAAUGAUACUUUUUCUACUUUCAAAUUUUUUGGACAAAAUUAAAGG
rnacentral:lncRNA from 1 species